rnacentral:ncRNA from 1 species
GAAAGCCGUGUGAGGGGAAACCUUCAUGCACGGUUUGGAGUGGGGGAAAAUCCGGCGAUAACAUCAAAGGAUUACCUAUCACUAU